GGAUUGUAGCUCAAUUGGUAAAGUGUUUGCCUCGCACGUGUGAGGUGCUGGGUUCGAUCCUCAGCACCA
rnacentral:tRNA from 1 species